GGCUGAGAGUGACACUCAGCAGAGAGCCUGCAGUCUCAUCAAGGUCAAACACCACACACUCAUCACGUGCAGAGGAUUAGUGGAUCGACGGGGGAAAAAAUGCAUAAUAAUGUUGAUGUCAUUGUCGUAUGUGUAAUGCGAUAAUCCGUUUGGGAUUUAUUCAGAGCGUUUAAACUACUUGAAGACACCACCUUUGAUUCGACACUUGUACGAUGCAGGAUUAAGCGUCUGAUAUAAUGCAAUUAAUGAAACUAAUCAGACAGUUUAAUGAUGAAGAAAAUGCAAAUGUGACAUGUGUGAGCCAUGUGUGUCACCUUGUUUCCUCGGUGUUGCACAGGGGUGUGAUGCUGUUAUGUUUUUCUGCCCGAGGCAAAACAAAAGAGACGGUCUCGUACAGUGAGCCUUGCCAAAAAGGUGUGCUGGAUAAACCGCAUUCCUGGGAAUAGGAAACAAGUGGUUGAACAUAAAGUCAUUGUGUGGUAGGUGGACGAUGCAAAAUCUAAUUUUAUAUAACUUCAACGCUGCCUUUGGUGAAUAGCUCUACUAGGUUGGGAAGACGUUAAAAGGUUUGAGGCAGAGAAUAAGCUGCGUCUCGGCUCCAUCAGAUUUCUCGUUCCUGCUUUCAUGUUGACCUCUUAAAUAGACUUCUAUAAAUAGAGGCUCUGGUUUAGUGCCUGUCAGAGCAGUCUAAUUUCUGGAUUCAUCCAUUAAUCAGCAGGAGAAGGUAGGAGUGUGAGUAGAGGAGAUGAUUAUUUUUGUAUCCUGGUGUUACUCCAGUGUUUUUCUUAAGUGUGAAGUUAGUUUCUGGAGUUAUUGUGCUGCUAAUAUCUGUAAACGUAGGUAUGCAACUUUUAAAAAAGUGUGUUAAUUCAUUGGCUUUUGUUUGUUUGUUUGUGUAAAAUAUUUGAAUGUGUUGCCUGUUUAACCUGUUGGAAUCAAUAAAAGUGACACUGAAAAUCAAA